UACGUAGGUGGCAAGCGUUGUCCGGAAUUAUUGGGCGUAAAGCGCGCGCAGGUGGUUCUUUAGGUCUGAUGUGAAAGCCCACGGCUCAACCGUGGAGGGUCAUUGGAAACUGGGGAACUUGAGUGCAGAAGAGGAAAGUGGAAUUCCACGUGUAGCGGUGAAAUGCGUAGAGAUGUGGAGGAACACCAGUGGCGAAGGCGGCUAUCUGGGCUGAAACUGACGCUGAGGCGCGAAGGCUAGGGGAGCAAACAGG
rnacentral:rRNA from 1 species